rnacentral:piRNA from 1 species
UAUGAACUCGGGCCACCCGCAUUCC